rnacentral:rRNA from 1 species
UACGUAGGGGGCUAGCGUUGUCCGGAUUUAUUGGGCGUAAAGAGCGCGUAGGCGGCCAGGUAAGUCCGACGUGAAAUCUGGAGGCUCAACCUCCAGCGGUCGUUGGAAACUACUUGGCUAGAGUCCGGAAGAGGAGAGUGGAAUUCCUGGUGUAGCGGUGAAAUGCGCAGAUAUCAGGAAGAACACCAAUGGCGAAAGCAGCUCUCUGGGACGGUACUGACGCUGAGGCGCGAAAGCGUGGGGAGCGAACAGG